AAUCCGUGUUGUGGACACUUUGAAAGAGAUCCUUGAAUCACUCUGACGUCUCAAAGAAAGAUUCAAGCUCCAUCUGAACAAAUGAUGAUAUCUCAUUAUGAAGCUU